rnacentral:lncRNA from 1 species
UAGUAAAGCCACUGUCUUUACUAAGUUCAGGGUCCUUGUCACGUUCACUGAGGCUGUAACAUAAUUGUUAGAAAGAACAGGAGUGGGAGGGGAGAUGGAGUCGGAGAGUCAGGCAGAGGUUAGAUCACCUACAGGCCAAGGUGGAGGAAGAAACAGGCGACACAGGACUCAAGGACAACACCUGCUCCCAGGCAAAAGGAGUUUGCUGUGGGUGCCCCUCCCUGUCUGUGUGUCCAGUGUGUGGAUAUUCUUUAUACUUUGCCCAUACUGUACAAAUGCUUUUUUUCUAUUCAAUAUUUAGAAGACAUUGCAUUAAAUAGCAAGAUGGCAGAUGAACAUCAGGAAAGAACAUUAGGAACAUCCACAGUGUUCCAUCCAGGAACCUUCACCAUGGAAACCCUUGUGCUCAUGGGCCUGGUCUCAAGACACAUUCAGCUGUUGGGGAUCAGAGGCCGCACUCAUCGUAGCAGAGAGGCAGGACCAACUGGGAGAGGGUCAUUCUGUGACACCUACUGCAUCACCGGGCUGUGUGAAGUGACUCAGCUGCCAGAACUCACACAAUAUCAUUCUACACCAAAACCUCACGGGAAAAAUGCUCCACGACCCUCAGACUUAAACAGCAGCACGGGCUGUUCCCCAAAACUCCAGAUCCACAACCUUCUGACUUAAAUGGCAGUAGCACUGGCUCCUCCCUAGGUCUCCAGUUCCAUGACCCUCAAACUACACAGCAGUACCAGCUCCUCCCCAGGUGUACAGCUCCACCACCCUCACACUAGACACCAAGACUGUCUCCUCCCCACUCUCCAGCUACAUGACCCUCAGACUUGAACAGCAGCAGCAGAUCUUUCCUGUACCUCAAGCCCCAUGACCUCGGAUUUCAACAACAACAACACCAGCUCCUGCCUAGGGCUCCAGCUCCAGGACCCACAGAUUUAAACGACAGCACCGGCUCUCCCCAGGAUCUCCAGCGCCACUACCCUUAAACUAGAACAGCAGCACCGCCUCCUCUCUGGUUCUUCAGUUGCACAACACUCAGGCACGAACAGCAGCACCGGCUCUUCCUUGGGUCUCCAGCUUCACUACCCUCAGACUAGAACAGCAACACUUGUUCCUCCCUGGAUCUCCAGCUCAAUGACUCCCAGACUUGAAAGGCAGCACCAACUCCUCCAUGGAUCUCCAGCUCCAUGACACUCAAAACAACAUGGCUCCUCCCUGGGUCUGCAGCUCCAGGACCCUCGAACUACAACAACAUUGUUCCUCCCUGGGUCUGCGGCUCCAUGAUCCUCAAACUCGAACAAGACCUCUCCUCCCUGGGUCUCCAGCUUCCGGACCCUCAAAUUACAACAACAUUGCUCCUGCCUGGGUCUGCAGCUCCACGACCCACAAAUAAGAACAAGACAAGACCUCUCCUCCCUGGGUCUCCAGCUUCCUGAUCCUCGAACUACAACAACAUUGCUCCUGCCUGGGUCUGUAGCUCGACAACCCUCAAACUAGAACAAGACCUCUUUUCCCUGGUUCGCCAGCUUCCGGACCCUCAAACUAAAACAACAUUGCUCCUGCCUGGGUCUGCAGCUCCAUGACCCUCAGACUCGAACAAGACCUCUCCUCCCUGCGUCGGCAGCUUCCUGACCCUCAAACUACACCAACAUUGCUCCUCCAUGGGUCUGCAGCUCCACGACCCUGAAACUAGAACAAGACCUCUCCUCCCUGGGUCUCCAGCUUCCGGACCCUCGAAUUACAACAACAAUGCUCCUGCCUGGGUCUGCAGCUCCAUUACCCUCAAAUAACAACAAGACCUCUCCUCCCUGGGUCGCCAGCUUCCAGACUCGAACUACAACACUGCUCCUCCCUGGAUCUGUAGCUCAACGACCCUUAGCUAGAACAAGACCUCUUUUCCCUGGUUUGCCAGCUUCUGGACCCUCAAACUAAAACAACAUUGCUCCUGCCUGGGUCUGCAGCUCCACGACCCUCAGUCUCGAACAAGACCUCUCCUCCCUGCGUCGUCAGCUUCCGGACCCUCAAAUUACAACAACAUUGCUCCUGCCUGGGUCUGCAGCUCCAUGACCCUCAAAUAACAACAAGACCUCUCCUCCCUGGGUCGCCAGCUUCCUGACCCUUGAAUUACAACAACAUUGCACCUGCCUGGGCCUGUAGCUCGAUGACCCUCGAACUAGAACAAGAACUCUCCUCCCUGAGUCGCCAGCUUCCUGACCCUCGAACUACAACAGCAUUGCUCCUCCAUGGGUCUGCAGCUCCACAACCCUGAAACUAGAACAAGACCUCUCCUCCCUGGGUCUGCAGCUCCACCACCCUCACCCUAGAACAGCAGCACCAGCUCCUUCCUGGACCUCCAGCUCAAUGACUCUCAGACUUCAAAGGCAGCACCAUCUCCACCCCCAGGCUCCAGCUCCAACACCCUCAGAUUUGAGCAGCGACAACACCAGCUCCUUUCUGGGUCUUCUGUUUCACGAUCCUUAAAUUAGAACAGCAGCACCAUCUUCUCCCUGGGUCUCCAGCUCCACGAGACUCAAGCUAGAAUAGCAGCACCAGCUCCUCUCGGAUCUUCAGUUCCACGACCCUAAGACAUCAGUGGUAGCACCGGCUCCUCCCCUGGGCUCCAGCUCCAGGACCCUCAGACUUGAACAAAAACACCAGCUCCUCCCCAGGCCUCCAGCUCCUUGACCCUCAUAAACAAUCCCUUCUUAUGAAAUGUAGCAGUCAGGAAAACUAUAGAGGAAGUAAAUAAAUAAAUGUUUUCUUUCAAAUUGAUGUUUC